GCUGGCGGCGUGCUUAAGACAUGCAAGUCGAACGGUAAGGCUUGUCACUCUUCGGAGUGACUCGCACACGAGUGGCGCACGGGUGAGUAACGCGUGGGUAAUCUGCCUUCGGGUUUGGGACAACUCCGGGAAACUGGAGCUAAUACCGAAUAAGACCACGAGGUCCCCGGACCUUGCGGAAAAAGGUGGCCUCUUCUUGAAAGCUAUCGCCUGUUGAUGAGCCCGCGUCCCAUUAGCUUGUUGGUGAGGUAAAAGCUCACCAAGGCAUCGAUGGGUAGCUGGUCUGAGAGGAUGAUCAGCCACACUGGAACUGAGACACGGUCCAGACUCCUACGGGAGGCAGCAGUCGGGAAUCUUGCACAAUGGGCGAAAGCCUGAUGCAGCAACGCCGCGUGAGGGAUGAAGGCUCUCGGGUCGUAAACCUCUGUCGGAAGGGAAGAAAGUAUUCCGGGCCAAUACCCCGGAGUAUCGACGGUACCUUCAAAGGAAGCGCCGGCUAACUCCGUG
rnacentral:rRNA from 1 species